rnacentral:rRNA from 1 species
UGAGUACAAGAUGCUACGGCAUUGAAGCAGUCUAUGUCAUACUUCCAAGAAAAGCUUGCAAUGUCAUAAACAAAUAAUGCCUGUACCAUAACCGACACAGGUGGGUAGGUAGAGUAUACUAAGGGGCGCGAGAUAACUCUCUCUAAGGAACUCGGCAAAAUGACUCCGUAACUUCGGGAGAAGGAGUACCUUAUUUUAUAAGGUUGCAAUAGCAAGGUCCAAGCAACUGUUUACCAAAAACACAGGUCUCCGCUAAGUCGUAAGACGAUGUAUGGGGGCUGACGCCUGCCCAGUGCCAGAAGGUUAAAGAAGUUGGUUAGCAUUAGCGAAGCUGAUAACUGAAGCCCUGGUGAACGGCGGCCGUAACAAUAACGGUCCUAAGGUAGCGAAAUUCCUUGUCGGGUAAGUUCCGACCCGCACGAAAGGCGUAAUGAUUUGGAUACUGUCUCGGAGAGGGGCUCGGUGAAAUAGACUUGUCUGUGAAGAUGCGGACUACCUGCACCUGGACAGAAAGACCCUAUGAAGCUUUACUGUAACUUGAGAUUGAAAUUGGACUUUAUUUGCGCAGUAUAGGUGGGAGACCUCGAAAGUAUUCUUGCGGGAAUAUUGGAGUCAUCAGUGAGAUACCACUCUUAUAAUGUUAGAUUUCUAACUUUGUAUCAUUAUCUGGUCAAAGAACAGUUUCAGGCGGGCAGUUUGACUGGGGCGGUCGCCUCCCAAAUGGUAACGGAGGCGCACAAAGGUUUCCUCUGAACGUGUAGAAAUCGUAUCUAGAGUGUAAAGGCAUAAGGAAGCUUGACUGUGAGACCUACAAGUCGAGCAGGGACGAAAGUCGGUCUUAGUGAUCUGACGGUGCUGAGUGGAAAGGCCGUCACUCAACGGAUAAAAGUUACUCUAGGAUAACAGGCUGAUCUCCCCCAAGAGUUCACAUCGACGGGGAGGUUUGGCACCUCGAUGUCGGCUCAUCGCAUCCUGGGGCGGUAGUACGUCCCAAGGGUUGGGCUGUUCGCCCAUGAAAGCGGUACGCGAGCUGGGUUCAGAACGUCGUGAGACAGUUCGGUCCAUAUCCGGUGUAGGCGUUAGAAAAUUGAGAGGAGCCUUCUUUAGUACGAGAGGACCGAGAAGGACAUACCUCUGGUGUACCAGUUAUCGUGCCAACGGUAAACGCUGGGUAGCUAUGUAGGGAGAGGAUACCGCUGAAAGCAUCUAAGUGGGAAGCCCACCUCAAGAUAAGUAUUCU